ensembl:lncRNA
AGUGAUGGAGAGAGAGUAAGGAAUAGUGAUAGAGAGAAGGAGAGAGAGUAAGGGAUAGUGAUAGAGAGAAGGAGAGAGAGUAAGAGAUAGUGAUAGAGAGAAGGAGAGAGAGUAAGGGAUAGUGAUAGAGAGGAGAGAGAGUAAGGGAUAGUGAUAGAGAGUAAGGGAUAGUGAUAGAGAGGAGAGAGAGUAAGGGAUAUUGAUAGAGAGGAGAGAGAGUAAGGGAUAGUGAUAGAGAGAAGGAGAGAGUAAGGGAUAGUGAUAGAGAGGAGAGAGAGUAAGGGAUAGUGAUAGAGAGGAGAGAGAGUAAGGGAUAGUGAUAGAGAGUAAGGGAUCGUGAUAGAGAGAAGGAGAGAGAGUAAGGGAUAGUGAUAGAGAGAAGGAGAGAGAGUAAGGGAUAGUGAUAGAGAGAGUAAGGGAUAGUGAUAGAGAGGAGAGAGAGUAAGGGAUAGUGAUAGAGAGAGUAAGGGAUAGUGAUAGAGAGAAGAGAGAGUAAGGGAUAGUGAUAGAGAGGAGAGAGAGUAAGGGAUAGUGAUAGAGAGAAGAGAGAGUAAGGAAUGGUGAUAGAGAGAAGGAGAGAGAGUAAGGGAUGGUGAUAGAGAGAGUAAGGGAUAGUGAUAGAGAGAAGAGAGAGUAAGGAAUGGUGAUAGAGAGAAGGAGAGAGAGUAAGGGAUAGUGAUAGAGAGAGUAAGGGAUAGUGAUAGAGAGAGUAAGGGAUAGUGAUAGAGAGGAGAGAGAGUGAGGGAUAGUGAUAGAGAGAAGAGAGAGUAAGGGUAUGGGUAAACCACUUCUCCAAUCUUUUUGGCUCUAUAACAAAGAAUAAAGAGCAAAAACAUAUACAUGAUCAAAUACAGAUCUUAGAAUCAACUAUUAAAGACUACCAGAACCCACUGGAUUCUCCAAUUACAUUGAAAGAGUUACAGGAUAAAAACCCUCCAACCCAAAAAGGCCUGUGGUGUUGAUGGUAUCCUCAAUGAAAUGAUCAAAUAUACAGACAACAAAUUCCAAUUGGCUAUACUAAAACUCUUUAACAUCAUACUUAGCUCUGGCAUCUUCCCCAAUAUUUGGAACCAAGGACUGAUCACCCC